UUGCACCUUAGCUUAGCGGCGGACGGGUGAGUAAUGCUUAGGAAUCUGCCUAUUAGUGGGGGACAACAUUCCGAAAGGAAUGCUAAUACCGCAUACGCCCUACGGGGGAAAGCAGGGGAUCUUCGGACCUUGCGCUAAUAGAUGAGCCUAAGUCGGAUUAGCUAGUUGGUGGGGUAAAGGCCUACCAAGGCGACGAUCUGUAGCGGGUCUGAGAGGAUGAUCCGCCACACUGGGACUGAGACACGGCCCAGACUCCUACGGGAGGCAGCAGUGGGGAAUAUUGGACAAUGGGCGGAAGCCUGAUCCAGCCAUGCCGCGUGUGUGAAGAAGGCCUUUUGGUUGUAAAGCACUUUAAGCGAGGAGGAGGCUACUUAGAUUAAUACUCUAGGAUAGUGGACGUUACUCGCAGAAUAAGCACCGGCUAACUCUGUGCCAGCAGCCGCGGUAAUACAGAGGGUGCGAGCGUUAAUCGGAUUUACUGGGCGUAAAGCGUGCGUAGGCGGCUUUUUAAGUCGGAUGUGAAAUCCCCGAGCUUAACUUGGGAAUUGCAUUCGAUACUGGGAAGCUAGAGUAUGGGAGAGGAUGGUAGAAUUCCAGGUGUAGCGGUGAAAUGCGUAGAGAUCUGGAGGAAUACCGAUGGCGAAGGCAGCCAUCUGG
rnacentral:rRNA from 1 species